UUCCUACGGGACGCAGCAGUGGGGGAUAUUGCACAAUGGGGGAAACCCUGAUGCAGCGACGCCGCGUGAGUGAAGAAGUAUUUCGGUACGUAAAGCUCUAUCAGCAGGGAAGAAUAAUGACGGUACCUGACUAAGAAGCCCCGGCUAACUACGUGCCAGCAGCCGCGGUAAUACGUAGGGGGCAAGCGUUAUCCGGAUUUACUGGGUGUAAAGGGAGCGUAGACGGCAGAGCAAGUCCGGAGUGAAAGCCCGGGGCCCAACCCCGGGACUGCUCUGGAAACUGUUAAGCUGGAGUGCGGGAGGGG
rnacentral:rRNA from 1 species